rnacentral:rRNA from 1 species
AAUAGAUACCCCGGUAGUCCAUGCCGUAAACGUUGGGAACUAGAUGUAGGGACCAUUCCACGGUUUCUGUGUCGCAGCUAACGCAUUAAGUUCCCCGCCUGGGGAGUACGGCCGCAAGGCUAAAACUCAAAGGAAUUGACGGGGGCCCGCACAAGCGGCGGAGCAUGCGGAUUAAUUCGAUGCAACGCGAAGAACCUUACCAAGGCUUGACAUAUACCGGAAAAGUUCAGAAAUGUUCUCCCCGCAAGGUCGGUAUACAGGUGGUGCAUGGUUGUCGUCAGCUCGUGUCGUGAGAUGUUGGGUUAAGUCCCGCAACGAGCGCAACCCUCGUUCUAUGUUGCCAGCACGUAAUGGUGGGAACUCAUAGGAGACUGCCGGGGUCAACUCGGAGGAAGGUGGGGAUGACGUCAAAUCAUCAUGCCCCUUAUGUCUUGGGCUUCACGCAUGCUACAAUGGCCGAUACAAAGGGCUGCAAUACCGUAAGGUGGAGCGAAUCCCAAAAAGUCGGUCUCAGUUCGGAUUGAGGUCUGCAACUCGA